CCGGCGAGAGACCAUGAGACAGUGAGCUCUCUCAAUUGUCCAUGCUCUCUCGUCGAUC
rnacentral:pre_miRNA from 1 species